rnacentral:rRNA from 1 species
UGAACGCUGGCGGUGCGUUUAAUACAUGCAAGUCGAACGAGAACUUUGAGAAGUUUACUUUUUAAAGUGAAAGUGGCGGACGAGCGAGUAACACGUAAGUAGUUGCCUUGUACUCAGGGAUAACCAGCCGAAAGGUUGGCUAAUACCGGAUAGUCUCGUAACAGUAAAGAUUUAUCGGUACGGGAGAUGCUUGCGACCUAUCAGCUUGUUGGUGGGGUAAAAGCCUACCAAGGCUAUGACGGGUAGCUGGUGUGAGAGCACGAACAGCCGCGAUGGAACUGAGACACGGUCCAUACUCCUACGGGAGGCAGCAGUAGGGAAUCUUCCGCAAUGGACGAAAGUCUGACGGAGCGACACCGCGUGGAGGAUGACGGCCUUCGGGUUGUAAACUCCUUUUUUGGGGGAAGAAGUUCUGACGGUACCCCAAGAAUAAGCCCCGGCUAAUUACGUGCCAGCAGCCGCGGUAAUACGUAAGGGGCAAGCGUUACCCGGAAUCAUUGGGCGUAAAGCGUCCGCAGGUGGUGCAAAAAGUCGGUUAUUAAAUACCGGAACUCAACUUCGGUGCCGUAAUCGAAACUUUUGCGCUAGAGGAUGGGAGAGGUAUGUGGAAUUGCACAAGUAGGGGUAAAAUCCGUAGAUAUGUGCAGGAACACCAAAAGCGAAGGCAGCAUACUGGCCCAUUCCUGACACUCAGGGACGAAAGCGUAGGUAGCAAAACGGAUUAGAUACCCGUGUAGUCUACGCCGUAAACGAUGCGUGCUCGGUGUAGGGACCCUCGACCUGGUCUCUGUGCCUAAGGUAACCCGUUAAGCACGCCGCCUGUGUAGUACGAGCGCAAGCUUAAAACACAAAGGAAUAGACGGGGACUCACACAAGCGGUGGACCAUGUGGUUUAAUUCGUCAGCACGCGAGUAACCUUACCAAGACUUGACAUCCCGAUCGUACCCUCUAGAAACAGAGGGGUCAGUUAGGCUGGAUCGGUGACAGGCGUUGCAUGGUUGUCGUCAGCUCGUGCCUUGAGGCGUUCGGUUAAGUCCGUUAACGAGCGCAACCCUCGCCGUAUGUUGUAUUUUCAUGCGGGACUGCCAGUUAUAAACUGGAGGAAGGUGGGGAUGACGUCAAAUCAGCAUGACCCUUAUGUCUUGGGCUACACACGUGGUACAAUGGCCAGUACAAACCGAAGCGAAGCGGUAACGUGGAGCCAAUCGGAGAAAACUGGUCUCAGUUCGGAUUGAGGUCUGCAACUCGACCUCAUGAAGUUGGAAUCGCUAGUAAUCGUAUAUCAGUCAUGGUACGGUGAAUAUGUUCCUGGGUCUUGUACUCACCGCCCGUCAAGGCAUGGAAGUCAGGGGCGCCCGAAGUCUGCUU